GAGUGGUCCGGUUUAACAACACUGCAGCAACACAGACUACGGAGCUCAAAGCGAGAAGAAGAAGGUGCAUACGCAUUGGCUGCGAGUGCACAGGACGCCCUGAAAUCUGAUAAUGGCGGGACAGUGCAAGCACUCUUGUCAAACAGCAACUCAAACUCUCGAAUGGAUUACCGCCAUCAUCGAUUUCAUCAGACCUUACGCCUUCUUGAUAAACGCUCACGUCGUCAAUUUCUUCAAGGACAGACUAUGGGAAGCCGUUGAUAAGGAAUGGGUUGAUUGCUUAAGAAACGAGCCAGUUGAGAAUCUUCUCAAAAUUCCUUCUGGAGUGGUGCAGGAUAACUGGCCUGAUUCGCUUAAGGAAUUUAUUCUCACCUUGAGAUCUCUUGUUUUCCCUCGCGAACAAGUAAAGCUGCAAACGAUAUAUCCAGAUCUGCUUUUGUAUUCACUUGAUAAUGUUCUCACCCAAGGCAUGAACCCAAAGAAAAGACAUGAGGUGGAAAUUCUCUCUGCCUUCGUCAAUUCAAUCUCAAAGAAUAUUGGAUCUCGCACAGUAAUUGAUGUUGGUGCUGGACAGGGUUAUCUUGCGCAAGUACUUUCCUUCCAGUACCAACUCUCUGUAGUUGCAAUAGAUGCUUCUUCUCAUCAUGGAAAGAUCACCAAUGCACGUGCGCAGCGAAUCAAGAAGCAUUAUGCAGCUAAGAUGCGUAAAUAUCUAUCUGGUCAUGGGAUAUAUGAUCUAAGUGGGCCCAGAAUAGUUACAUGUCAAGUAUUGUCCACUGAUGCGUUGAAUGCCUUGAGCGACUCCUUGCAACAAAAUGGUAAGGUUGAACAACAAAUGCUGAUUGAUCAAUCCUUGGGAGAAUCUUAUCAUGAUGGACAUAACGUGAGAAAACCUACUCCGUGCAAUGCAACCAAUGGAUCUUCAGUGCUUCUUGCUGGGCUUCAUGCUUGUGGAGACCUUUCAGUGACAAUGCUUAGAACUUUUUUAGAGUGCGAGGAUGUUAAAGCUGUGAUUAGCAUUGGUUGCUGUUACAACUUACUAUCUGAAGAAGGCUCUGAAAAUGUUGGUUCUCAGUGUGGGUUUCCAAUGAGUAAAGGUGUUAAAUCUUACAGCUUAUCAAUGGGAAAAAGUUCAUUCGAUCUCGCUUGCCAGAGUGCUGAGAGAUGGAGAAGUUUGGGAAAAGAGGCUGGUCUUCAUAAUUUUGAGUUGCAUGCCUUCCGUGCUGCCUUUCAGAUGCUUCUUUAUAGAUGUUUUCCAGAAGCCUUGACUAGAAGUCCUGUAAUAGGGCGUCAAGGGAAGGCUUUGCGUCGGCAGCAGCAAAGGAAGACUGUAGAAUGUUCAUUGUGUCAUGACGAAUGUAAAUGUUCCUCCUUUCCUCAAGAGAACUUUAAGGAGAAUGGGAAUUGUCCUGCAUUGACUUUCACUGAAUCAGCUACAGAUGAAGGCUCAAUGUUGAAUGCGGAUUCCUUGUUUCAUGGAACGCUUUUCAGACACAGUGCUAUAAUUGAAGGGAACAAAUUUGUUGAAAAAUAUUCCCUGUUUGAGAAAUUCAGCCAAUCUGGACUGCAUCGCUUGGGUCUAAAGCCUUUGCAAGGUAUCAAUUGCCUUCAAAUUUGGAAGGAAACUGCACCUUUCCAUGAACUUAUAGGUCCUUAUUGGUCUCUUCGGGCUGCUUUGGGUCCACUUUUGGAGACCUUCCUUCUUCUUGACAGGUUGUUGUUCCUCCAGGAGCAAGGCAGUUCCAUUGAAGCAGUCAUGCUGCCAAUUUUUGAUCCUGCAUUAUCCCCACGGAAUGUGGCCAUUGUUGCUAGGAAAAUUUAAUGCAAGCUUCAUGUAUGAAUGUAAGUUUCCUGAUAUCAGUUUGGCCAAUGGAACUAUGGAAGAUUUUGCUUUCACUCGAGUAAAACACAAUUUUAGUAGUAAAUUGGAGGUUUUUGUAAAAGGAUGGACAAGAAGAUGAGAGUGGGUAAGCUGGCAACGACCACCUCCCUAAUGUUUCUAUUAGGCUGUUAAUACAGAAGCAAUUGGGAUUGUGGAUGCUUAAGCUAAUUUUGUUGUGUCAAUAUCAGGUUUUGAUGUUUGCUCAUUUAAAUUUUCCUGUAAAAUUUAAAAUAAAACAAUAGAUGAUGCUUUAGUACUGCUA